AUUGAAUGCUGGCGGCAGGCCUAACACAUGCAUGUCGAGCGAGCGGCGGACGGGUGAGUAAUGUCUGGGAAACUGCCUGAUGGAGGGGGAUAACUACUGGAAACGGUAGCUAAUUCCGCAUACCAUCAGAUGUGCCCAGAUUGGAUUUGCUCGUAGGUGGGGUAACGGCUCACCUAGGCGACGAUCCCUAGCUGGUCUGAGAGGAUGACCAGCCACACGGGAAGUGAGACACGGUCCAGAAUGCUACGGGUGGCAGGCGUGGGGAAGAUUGCACAAUGGGCGCAAGCCAGAUGCAGCCAUGCCGAGUGUGUGAAGAAGGCCUUCGGGUUGUAAAGCACUAUCAGCGGGGAGGGGUUCCCCGCAGAAGAGGCACCGGCUAACUCCGUGCCGGCCGCCGCGGGAAUAC
rnacentral:rRNA from 1 species